rnacentral:lncRNA from 1 species
CCAGGUGUGUGCAGAAAUCGGAUGGAUCUUCUCCCAGACUGCUCCUGGGUUUCUGUGUCCUGAAAGCUCCAGGUAAUAUCUGGAAUAAGGAGACACCGAAUAGCAUCCACAUAUUGUUGAACCCAGCAAGUACACUGGCCUCCUUCAACAGCUGUCUCAACCCAAUACUCUGUGUCUUCCUUGGUCAAGAAUUUAGAGAGAAACUGAUACAUUCCCUGUCUGCCAGUCUGGAGAGGGCCCUGCGAGAAGACUCAGUCCUGAGCACUUGGCAAAAGCAGCAACUUUUCUUCAUGUCCUGCAGAUUCUGAACUAUAGAAAAUGGUAGCUGCAAGUCCAGUGGAAUGCUUCCUGUGCUACUGUAUUCUCACUCUCUCAUGCUACCUUGCAUUAUAUUUUUUAAUAUUAAUUUUAAAAUCAUUUUUGUCCUUCAGUUUGUAAAAAUUUAAUGAAAAUAAAAACUAGUACCAUACAUUA